GAUGAACGCUGGCGGCGUGCCUAAUACAUGCAAGUCGAGCGAACGGACGAGAAGCUUGCUUCUCUGAUGUUAGCGGCGGACGGGUGAGUAACACGUGGAUAACCUACCUAUAAGCCUGGGAUUACUUCGGGAAACCGUAGCUAAUACCGGAUAAUAUUUUGAACCGCAUGGUUCAAAAGUGAAAGACGGUCUUGCUGUCACUUAUAGAUGGAUCCGCGCUGCAUUAGCUAGUUGGUAAGGUAACGGCUUACCAAGGCAACGAUGCAUAGCCGACCUGAGAGGGUGAUCGGCCACACUGGAACUGAGACACGGUCCAGACCCCUACGGGAGGCAGCAGUAGGAGAUCGGCAGCAAUGGGCGAAAGCCUGACGGAGCAACGCCGCGGGAGUGAUGAAGGUCUUCGGAUCGUAAAACUCUGUUAUUAGGGAAGAACAUAAGUGUAAGUAACUGUGCACAUCUUGACGGUACCUAAACAGAAAGCCACGGCUAACUACGUG
rnacentral:rRNA from 1 species